rnacentral:rRNA from 1 species
UUGGAGGGCAAGUCUGGUGCCAGCAGCCGCGGUAAUUCCAGCUCCAAUAGCGUAUAUUAAAGUUGUUGCAGUUAAAAAGCUCGUAGUUGAAUUUCGGGAUCAAUAUAACGGUCAUGCCGUUGGUAUGCACUGUUAUAAUUGAUUUCUCACCUUCUAAAGAACCGUAAUGCCAUUAAUUUGGUGUCACGGGGAAUUAGGACUGUUACCUUGAAAAAAUUAGAGUGUUUAAAGCAGGCUCACGCUUGAAUACAUUAGCAUGGAAUAAUGAAAUAGGACAUCCGAUUCUAUUUUGUUGGUUUCUAGGAUCGAUGUAAUGAUUAAUAGGGAUAGUUGGGGGCAUUAGUAUUCAAUUGUCAGAGGUGAAAUUCUUGGAUUUAUUGAAGACUAACUACUGCGAAAGCAUUUGCCAAGGAUGUUUUCAUUAAUCAAGAACGAAAGUUAGGGGAUCGAAGACGAUCAGAUACCGUCGUAGUCUUAACCAUAAACUAUGCCGACUAGGGAUCGGAUGAUGUUAAUUUUUUAAUGACUCAUUCGGCGCCUUACGGGAAAC